rnacentral:snRNA from 1 species
GUGCCCACUUGGGUAGCACAUACACUGAAGUUGGAAUGACACAGGGAAGGUUGACAUGGCCUCUGUGCAAGAGUAACAUGCAUUCCACAUUUUU